rnacentral:lncRNA from 1 species
UCAGAAGCUCAAAGUCUAGAUCAGAGGAACAAGCUUUUCAGGGAAAGACUAUUAUUUUGGAAAAAAUACAUCAACUAAAAAAAAAUACAACAAUAGCUUUCACUGAUGGCUCCUGCAGAGGAAACCCAGGUCCAUGCGGGGCUGGGGCAGCUAUUUUAAUACCAAACAGUACAGAACAUGUGGAGUUAACACAGCCAGUUUCUAAUAGAGGAUCUAUUUUAU